ensembl:lincRNA
AUGCAGAGUCGUGCAACGUCCUGGCGUCCUGGCGAGGCACCUGGGGAGCACAUAUCCCCUCAAGUAGGAAAUGCACCACCUGAAAAUGCCACGGCAGACCUGGGUCUCCACUUGCACGCCGGCACUGGAGCAGACCUGAGUCCCCCUCUUGCGCCAGAGCCUCUCCAAGGGCCCCCUGUUGGCGCCUCCCCUGCCUCCUUGCUUGCCAGCAGCACCAGUGUGCGUGGGUGUGGCUUCUCUCCUCCACUGCUCUUGCCCCAGGCCACCAGGAAACAUGGGGCCAACGUCACCUUCUUGUCACACGGGGACGGCAGAAGCCACCCUGGCUGCCUCUCAGUGCCGACAGGCUCCACAGGGCUCCUCGCAGCGCUCGUCCUGCUGCGUUUCUUUCGCCAGCUUCCCCGCCCGUGCCGCGCAGGUGCCGUCCACACCCCCUGCCGCGCCAGCCACUGGCGUCAGGAAGGCACUGGGGCCGUCAGCUGUCUUACACGUCAGAAGGAACUUCUGCCCCCUUCGAGGUUGCCUGACAGGCAGUCCAGUCUUUCUCUUCACUGCAUCCCUCAGGGAAGCACGCCAUCUCCAUGCCAGGGGACUUCUGCCAGCUCGUGCUUUCUCACUUGGAAGUUGGCUAGUACUCAACCCUCUGAUGAAUGGAAGAGUAACAACUUGCUUUUCUCUCUGCUGAGGAGUGGACCCAUGGAGACAGGCAGCUUCGAGGGAGUCUCUCUUUCUAAGGCUCAGAAUUGGCAGAUGGGAGGUUAUAGAAACUUGUGGCCAAUUGAGAAGUUCUCAAACCAUUGCUGUCGACACGGAGGGAGCAAAGGGCAGAGCGUGGUGUGUGUGAGUCACUUCUUUGGGAUGGCCAUACCCCUGGCUGCAUCUGUUCCUGGCUAUGGUGCUGCUUUCUACCACCGGACACUCGGCACCGGAAGACAAGGUGUGCUGCCCGAGGCCACACGGCAACGGGUUGGAUGCCACACGUGGAAGCAGGUAUACGUGUGUUCCCCAGGGGCUGACAUCCUGUUUCCAGCACAUAGAAUGAGUCACAGAAAGCCUCUGCUGAGUCAUAAUGACACACCCAGAAGCCGAUGACACGCACCUAGGAGGUCGCAUACAGACAAGAAUUCCUGAGGGCUGCCCUCAGCCCAUGUUCACUGGGGAACACUGUGGAAGGGGAAGUGGCCGUGACAUUUGCUUUGGUUGCCACACUGGCAUUAUUUGAGCCUGUCCUGCCUGUGAGCUUCUGACUCUGACUUCUGACCUCAGGAGAAGCACACAUGGGACCAAGGAAGGGGCCCAGGCAUCCUGCGUGUGCCUUACCAGGCUGGCGACAAUGACAGCAGCUGAAAUCUCACGGAAUGCUUAGUAUGUUUCGAACUUGUCACCUCAGUGACCUCGGUGAGCCCUCCGGUGGCCCACGAGGGCCGCCACUGCCAGCCUCCUGCAGCUGGACCCGGGCUGUGUGGCCCCGUCCUCUAGGGGGCCUGUCUGGGCCGGCGCUGCCCACUGCAUGAAGCGUCCAUCCUGGGGGGCUUUUCUGUGGCAGGGGCUCCAUUUCACAGGCCUCCAGGGGUCCUGCCCUUGGAAGAAGUCUUCUCUAAUGUUCCUUUUCCUGGUCUAUUCCCCAGAUGCCCUCUUCCACUUCCAGAAUGCUUAGGCUUCUGUAUAAGAACAAUUUCUUAGAGCCCAAAGUGAGGUCAGGUGCAUCGGAGUAUGCAAGGAAGGACAGUGAAAUGAAAAUGUUGGGAAUAAAUGAAACAUCCUUAUAACUGCAACACGCUUGUGUUCUUAUGCAGCAAACUGGCUUAGAAACCUACAUUCUUCACCAUUUGUUUGUGUGUUGAUUUGGACCUGUUGGUGACAGGCAGCAAAGGACGAGCACCGUGGGAUGGGACAUAAGCAGGAAGGGACUCUCCCCCACCGAUAUCCAGCUCGUUAUUUUGAGUGUGUGAGCCUCUUAUGACACGACCUCCCGCCCAGGCUGCUCUGCAGUACCUGCCCGUGCAUCCUGUGCAUCCUGUGCAGGGGCAGCCUGCGCCCUUGCAGACCUCUCCUUUUAUUUUUCGGCAACAUAAUAGGAGGCAAAGGCCGAGAACUGCAGAGCCGUGUGCAGCGUUUGGAAGAGGCUGGGGCUGCGGGUGUGCACAGUGCAGAGGCUCUCACUGAUAUACCAUAAUAUUCAAUUUUUUAUUGCUAUCAAUUAAAGAGGUAAAAAAUACUUUAAUAUAAUUUUAUUUGACAUUUAUUUUAAGACAGGCCAAGACUUCUGUCCAAAUGUUUAAGGGCCAUUUAUAUAUUCUUUCUUUUUCCUUCAUAUUUUCCUACUCUGUUUUUUGACCCAUUGCUUGUUGAUUUGUAAGAACAUGGGUAUUUAUUAGAGAAAUACUUGCUUAGAAUGGUUCUUUUUCAUGCAGAACUUUUCAUAAUUAAAUUGCUACAAAGUUAUUAAUUUUUUUCUUUUAUAGCUCUUGGGUUAUGUGACAUAAUUUUAAAAGGCCUCUCCAUUGGACAAUUAUUAAAAAUAAAUUAUUCUGGCUUGGCCCGGUGGCUGACACCUGUAAUCCUACCACUCUGGGAGGUUGAAGGAUCACUUGAGCUCAGGAGUUCGAGACCAGCCUGAGCAAGAGCAAGACCCCGUCUCUAUAAAAUAUAGAAAAAUUAGCCAGGCAUGGUGGUACGCACCUGUAGUCCCAGCUACUGGGGAGGCUGAGGCAGGAGGAUUGCUUGAGCCCAGGAGCUGGAGAUUGCAGUGAGCUAUGAUGACACCACUGCAUUCUAGCUGGGGCUACAGGCUACACAGUGAAACCCUGUCUGAAAAAAAAAAACAACAACUCUGUAUCUUCUAGAAAUUUAUUGAAAUGUGUUCACAUGGAAUAUAUAAAAAUAUAUAUAUUUCAUAUGAAAUGGAAUAUAUAUUCCAUAUGAAUUUUAUUCUGAUCAUUAAAUGUGAUUUUUUCAAGGAAUCUAUAUUAUAAUGUUUUAAAAAUUGUGGUGCAAUAUACGUAAGACAAAAUUUUACCAUUUAACCAUUUUGAAGUGUACAAUUGAAUGGCUGGCAUAUUAACAAUAUAUACAACCAUCACCACUAUCUGGUUCCAGAGCUUUUUCAUUAUUCCUCAAGGAAACCCCAUGCACAUUAAGCAGUACCUCCCCAGGGACCCUCCCUCCAUCCCUGGGCAACCCCUCAUCUGCUUUCUGUCUGUGUGGAUUCGGUUAUUCUGGACAUUUCGUAUAAAUACAUACAAUAAAUAUAUAAAUAUAUGUGUAUAUAUAUAUAUAUACAUACAAUACACAUAUAUACACACAACAUACGUACACACAUACAUAUACAAAUAUAUGUAUAAAUAUAUGCAAUACGUUGUUCUGACUCCUUUGCCU